AACGAACGCUGGCGGCAGGCUUAACACAUGCAAGUCGAGCGCCCCGCAAGGGGAGCGGCAGACGGGUGAGUAACGCGUGGGAAUCUACCCAUCUCUACGGAAUAACGCAUGGAAACGUGUGCUAAUACCGUAUACGCCCUUUGGGGGAAAGAUUUAUCGGGGAUGGAUGAGCCCGCGUUGGAUUAGCUAGUUGGUGGGGUAAAGGCCUACCAAGGCGACGAUCCAUAGCUGGUCUGAGAGGAUGAUCAGCCACAUUGGGACUGAGACACGGCCCAAACUCCUACGGGAGGCAGCAGUGGGGAAUAUUGGACAAUGGGCGCAAGCCUGAUCCAGCCAUGCCGCGUGAGUGAUGAAGGCCUUAGGGUUGUAAAGCUCUUUCACCGGUGAAGAUAAUGACGGUAACCGGAGAAGAAGCCCCGGCUAACUUCGUGCCAGCAGCCGCAGUAAGAC
rnacentral:rRNA from 1 species